UACGUAGGCAGCGAGCGUUGUUCGGAAUUACUGGGCGUAAAGAGUGUGUAGGCGGUGCUCUAAGUUCGGUGUGAAAUCUCCUGGCUCAACUGGGAGGGUGCGCCGGAAACUGGAGUGCUUGAGCGUGGGAGAGGAAAGCGGAGUUCCUGGUGUAGCGGUGAAAUGCGUAGAUAUCAGGAGGAACACCUGUGGUGUAGACGGCUUUCUGGACCAUAGCUGACGCUGAGACACGAAAGCGUGGGUAGCAAACAGG
rnacentral:rRNA from 1 species